UACGUAGGUGGCAAGCGUUGUCCGGAAUUAUUGGGCGUAAAGGGAGCGCAGGUGGGAAAGUAAGUCGAUUUUAAAAGUGCGGGGCUCAACCCCGUGAGGGAAUCGAAACUGCUUUUCUUGAGUGCAGGAGAGGAAAGUGGAAUUCCUAGUGUAGCGGUGAAAUGCGUAGAUAUUAGGAGGAACACCAGUGGCGAAGGCGACUUUCUGGACUGUAACUGACACUGAGGCUCGAAAGCCAGGGGAGCGAACGGG
rnacentral:rRNA from 1 species